rnacentral:rRNA from 1 species
GACAGAGGAUGCAAGCGUUAUCCGGAAUGAUUGGGCGUAAAGCGUCUGUAGGUGGCUUUUUAAGUCUGCCGUCAAAUCCCAGGGCUUAACCCUGGACAGGCGGUGGAAACUACCAAGCUGGAGUACGGUAGGGGCAGAGGGAAUUUCCGGUGGAGCGGUGAAAUGCGUAGAUAUGUGGAGGAACACCGAUGGCGAAGGCAGCCCCCUGGGUCAAGACUGACGCUCAUGCACGAAAGCGUGGGGAGCAAACAGG